AAAAAAAAAAAAAAAACAGUCCUGAAUAUUCAUUGGAAGGACUGUUGCUGAAGCUGAAACUCCAAUACUUUGGCCACAUGAUGUGAAAAACUGACUCAUUUGAAAAGACCCUGAUGCUUGGAAAGAUUGAAGGCGGGAGGAGAGGAUGACGACAGAGGAUGAGAUGGUUGGAUGGCAUCACCGACCCAAUGGACAUGAGUUUGAGUAAACUCUGGGAGUUGGUGAUGGACAGGGAGGCCUGGCGUGCUGCAGUCCAUGGAGCUGCAAAGAGUUGGACACAACUGAAUAACUAAACUGACUGACGGAAGACUUCCAAAUCUUCUCCAAAUGUUCAAAGAAUGAUCAUACAGAGCAAGAAUUAGACUUCUCUUUUUUUGGCCAUAAAUGAUAUCUGAGAUCUGUAGGUAGAAGCAAUAUAGUAGUGAAUUUCAUCCAGUAUAAGGGAAAUCAUUGCAACAGAGAGGUGGAAAACAGAUCAUUGCUUAGAGACAGAAAGUUCUUUUCAAGCACAGAAAAUAAUUUGGCAGAGAUGUUACAGAGAGGAUUUAAUUCUUCAAUGGAUAAUUGUCAAAGCGGGCUCAUAUAUGGAAUUGUUAUGGGAUAUAUUUUAAAUAACAGAUUCUUGAUUUCUGCCCUUACGUACAGUAUCAGAGUUUCCAGGGGUGGAGAAGCUUGUAUUUUUUCAAAAAGCAUCCUAGCUGACUCAAAAGAUCAUCCCAGUUUGACAAGCACUAGGUCUUUCUAAGGUCUCUUCCCAGUCACAUUUUACCUCAAGGCAAUCAAAUUAGUUGGCUGCCAAUGAAGUCUGUGGUUAAAACCAAGUGUGUAUACUUAUUAUCAUUCUUAUUCUAGGAUAUGGAAACUUCUAUAUGAAAGAGAUAACACCUGCCCAAGAUCACAUGGUUAAUGUGUCCAACCCUUUGUGACCCCAUGAACUACACAGUCCAUGGAAUUCUCCAGGCCAAAAUACUAGAAUACUGGAGUGGGUAGGCUUUCCCUUCUCCAGAGCAUCUUCCCAACCCAGAGAUCAAACCCAGGUCUCCCGCAUUGCAGGCAGAGUCUUUACCAGCUGAACCACCAGGGAAGCCCAAAGGUGAGACGGGAGACUGACUUUGAAAAUCUAACUUGAAAACACAUCUUAGGAGCCACUUUAAUACGCUGCCUCCUUAAUGGGAAUAUCUGCACAGGUGAUAUAAAUAAAGCAAACUGAACCAGAGCAGCUUUUUAAAAAGCAUCUCUGAAGAGAUGAUUAAAUGCAAUUCACUAUUUUAUAUCACACAUAAAAUUCACACAUUUUAUAUAUGAUGUCACCUAUAUAUACGUAUUACAUACAUACAUGUAUAUGAGAUUUGAGUGAUUAAG
ensembl:lncRNA